AACGGCAAAGGAGUUCCCCUCAUUCCCUCCCAACAGCAAAGGAGUUCCUCUCAUUCCCCCGAGUUCGGAUUGGACACUACAAAAUUCUCAACAGACUGUAGAAGUCACGCGGAGAGAAGGGAGAGCAGCAGCAAAUCGACUGUAGCAUUCUCAACAUCGACUGUAGAAGAGAAGGGAGAGCAGCAGCAACAUCGGACACUACUAUUCUAGGGUUUCGUAGUUGUUCCUUCUUGAUUGUUUCAGGUACCAAUUGCAGUCUCCUCUUGUUUCAGGAAUCAAUUUAAAUCAAUUUUUGAAUCAAUUUAAAUCAACGAUUUCAAUCAGUAACAUUGAGAUAAUCUGUAUAAUUUUGCUGAGAAAAUCAUUGAGGUAUUGAAUGGUUGGAUGGUCUGUCCUUCUAAACACAUUUACAAAAGUCUUGCGUUUGAGUUCAACCAAUGUCACAAAUAAUUUUAUUAUAAAAAUUUACAUUCGAGCUUAAUUUGAGCCAAAUGAUCUCAAAUUAAACUCGAACCAACCUACUAUUAAAUCUUGAACAUGAGCUAAUUUAUUCAUAUAAUGGUAUUACCCUAAGGUCUGUUGAUGACAGAAUCAGUGGAGGAGAAGAAAUUCACACUAAAUGAAUCUCAGCAUAUCCAUGCCUAUUUAUUUCACAGAUUGGAAACUUCCAAAUAUGCUUUAUAAUUGUAGUGGACGACCACUGCUAACCAGCUAACUUUAUUGGAAUUGGAAAUAAGUCAAAUAACUAAGUAGCAACUGACUAAACUAUGGUUAUUCUUAACAAUAAAAAAAAUAAACUGAUAAGAAAGCUGAUAAAUUCUAGGGAUCAAGGCAUUCCAUUGUCAAUAAAUGGAUAGAGGAAAGAUGCAUUAAAGGUCAGUUUUAACAUCUAAGUUAGAAUAAGCCAUAACCAUAUGAUCGAUCAGAUGUAUUUUUUUUAUUUAGAAUAAAGGCAGUGCCCUGAAUUACAUUGGAUUAGAUGUAAUAAAGCAAUGACAAUACAGAUGUGAAACUAUUUGUUCUAAAUUAUGCGCUUCAAUAUGUCCAAAAUGUGAAAAAUGUGAAAAAUAUAAAGAUUAUAGAGAUUUCUUUCAAUUGAAGCAAAUUGAAGGUUUUCUAUAGUUUACAAAAUCUUCUCAAAAUGAAUCUGACUGCUUUAUUCAUGAAAUGCUUGUUGUCACUGCCAUUGAUUUGAUAGACAGCAUUAGGAGAGAUCAUUCAAAGGAACUUCUUUGUUGAUCUAUUAGUCAUUAUCAAUGCUUUAGAUAGAUGCCCAUCUGAAGCUGUUAAUACUAAGAUUCUGAACUUCUUUGUUGAUCUACUUUCUGGUGAUUUUUCUUGUCCUACUUUUAAUGAAAAAUUACUUAGAAAAUUCAUUUCAUUUGAUUUGAUAUGUUUAUCAAAGUGGCUUGAAUUCAGACUCUUGGGGAGAAGCACUAAGGAUGAAUCAGGAAAUGUUAGCACUAAAGGGGUUUCCCCUUCCCUUAGAGAUUAAAAAUACUUAACAGUACGAACUUUAAAGAUUAAAGAAUAGAAAUAUACUAGAUUCCAGUAAUAGACCUAUACUAGAUUCCAUUAUCACUUAUGUAGUUAUGUUUGUAUUACACCACAAUAAAAAAUGUAGUUAUGUUUUCACCAAAGAUUUCUCUGUUAUUUGGAAAUCUUAUAAUAGAUAUACUUAUAUUAAUUCCCAUGUUGUUUUAUUGGAUAUUUUAUUAAUUCCAUGGGAAAAUCCUUAGCUUUAAAAUUGUAUUGGUUUAAAAACUAAUUGUAUUGGUUUAAAAUUCUUAGAAUGACCGAUGAUGAUCGAACUUGGAUGUAUAACCGGCAAGAUUCAAAAGGUCAUCUAACGGUGGAAUUUGGCAAUGGCAUCCCUCAUUUCUUGAAAUGUGCAAGAGAAAAACUUGG
rnacentral:lncRNA from 1 species